AUUGAACGCUGGCGGAAUGCUUUACACAUGCAAGUCGAACGGCAGCACGGGGCAACCUGGUGGCGAGUGGCGAACGGGUGAGUAAUACAUCGGAACAUGCCCAAUCGUGGGGGGAUAACGUAGCGAAAGUUACGCUAAUACCGCAUACGAUCUACGGAUGAAAGCGGGGGAUCGCAAGACCUCGCGCGAGUGGAGCGGCCGAUGUCAGAUUAGGUAGUUGGUGGGGUAAAGGCUCACCAAGCCAACGAUCUGUAGCUGGUCUGAGAGGACGACCAGCCACACUGGAACUGAGACACGGUCCAGACUCCUACGGGAGGCAGCAGUGGGGAAUUUUGGACAAUGGGCGCAAGCCUGAUCCAGCCAUUCCGCGUGCAGGAUGAAGGCCUCGGUUGUAAC
rnacentral:rRNA from 1 species